GGCUGACGGGUGACUAACGCGUGGGUAGCCUGCCCAGAAGGGGGGGAUAAUUGCUGGCAGGUGAUGCUACUACCGCACAACAAAAUUAACCGGGUUUUUGAUUUUUAAAAGAUGGCUUCGGCUAUCACUUCUGGAUGGACCCGCGGCGUAUUAGCUAGUUGGUGAGAUAAAGGCUCACCAAGGCAGUGAUACGUAGCCGACCUGAGAGGGUAAUCGGCCACAUUGGGACUGAGACACGGCCCAUACUCCUACGGGAGGCAGCAGUAGGGAAUCUUCCACAAUGGACGCAAGUCUGAUGGAGCAACGCCGCGUGAAUGAUGAAUGCUUUCGGGUCGUAAAACUCUGUUGUUGGAGAAGAACGUGUGUGAGAGUAACUGCUCAUGCGGUGACGGUAUCCAACCAGAAAGCCACGGCUAACUACGUGCCAGCAGCCGCGGUAAUACGUAGGUGGCAAGCGUUAUCCGGAUUUAUUGGGCGUAAAGCGAGCGCAGGCUGUCUUUUAAGUCUGAUGUGAAAGCCUUCUGCUUAACCGAAAGAAGUGCAUUGGACACUGGGAGACUUGAGUGCAGAGGAGGAGAGUGGAACUCCAUGUGUAGCGAGAAAUGCGUAGAUAUAUGGAAGACACUGUGAGACGCUGCUCUCUGGUCUGCUACUGACUGCUGAUGCUCGAAUCAUGAGUAGCGACAGAUUAACUCCGUGUUAGUCAUGGCAUACACGAUGACUG
rnacentral:rRNA from 1 species